rnacentral:rRNA from 1 species
GUCUACUGCCAUGCCACCCUGAACACGCCCGAUCUCGUCUGAUCUCGGAAGCUAAGCGGGGUAGGGCCUGGUUAGUACUUGGAUGGGAGACCACCUAGGAAGACUGGGUGCUGUAGGCG